UUCGCGGUGUGCAAGUACUUGGAAAGGGAAACGAGAAACGACCCUGCGCGAGUCGCGGAGAAAUAUUGCAACUAUCUUAAAUAAUUCAUAUUGUCAAUUGAAAUUGUCAAAUUGACGUAUAUUUCAUACCUUCUGUCAAUGAAGCAGAAAAAUUAUAUAUUGCUCCACAAUAUUGAUAUGAUAUGCAAUUAUUAUAUAAAGUAAAUUUAAUUAAUUGUAUUUUGCUUGCAGUACUGCAUUUUAAUAACUAAUUUUAUUUACUACAUACAAUUGUUGAUGUUUUCAUAACAUAACCUGAAUCUUAUUUUUUCUUCUUAUUAUUUUUUUUGGACUAUGGCCUUGACAAUUAUCCAGUAACCAGGACUAAUAUAAUUGGCCAAUAUAAUUAAAAGUGCGAAUAAUAGUACAGAGCGUAGAAAUAGGGGUCGCUUUGCCGAACUUGCACGGCCCCAAUAGGUCUUGUUAGUUUUGUAUGUUUUGGUUGAGCAAAAUUUUAUUUUUAAGUUUUGUUCCUUUUGUAUGUUUUGGCCGUAAUUGGAUAUUCAUAUCCUUGGAAUCAUUAGUGUGAAUUCUUGGUAAAAGACAUCAAAAUUUGGCGGAUCAAGCACUUAUAAUUUUAUCAAAAGAGUAAUGUCAACUAUAUUGGCAGACAGUCUUAUUAUUGAGUAUAGUUGGCUGGGUCGGAAAGGAAAACGUAGCCUUGAGAGUACGAUGGUGGGAAAGCUGUUUGUAUCAAUAUGUAGAUUGGAUAGCGUAGCAGGACGAACGGUUGGCCGCACAUCACUUUGCCUUGAUGAAUGCGAGUUAAAUCCCCAGCCCGUUGAAAGGAAAACAAAAAGGCUAACACGUCAGUUUAAAAUUCAUAAGGCUGAUUAGCCUAUGUGAUGGAGCAGUACGACAAGUGAUAAGGGCAUGUGGCUCAGUGAUACUCCCUCAUAGAUCCCUACCGGAAGGAUAUAUAAUCAUAUAUUUUCAGCAAUAUAAUAUAGUAAACACUGAACUAAAAAUGUAAUAAAACUGUAAUGUAACAAGAUAAUCGAUAGCCAGUGGUU